rnacentral:rRNA from 1 species
AAUGAACGCUGGCGGCAGGCUUAACACAUGCAAGUCGAGCGAGCGGCGGAAGGGUGACGAAGGCAUGGGCAACUGUGUGACGUACGCGGAUGACUACUGGAAACCGUAGAUAAUACUGCAUACUACCAGAUGUGCCAUCAUGGGAUUAGCUAGUCGGUGGGGUAAUGGCUCACCUGGGCGACGAUACCUAGCUGGUCUUAGAGGCUGACCAGCCACACGGGAACUGAGACACGGUCCAGACUCCUACGGGAGGCAGCAGUGGGGAAUAUUGCGCAAUGGGCGCAAGCCUGAUGCAGCCAUGCCGCGUGUGUGAAGAAGGCCUUCGGGUUGUAAAGCACUUUCGGCGGGGAGGCGUUACUCGCAGAAGAAGCACCGGCUAACUCCGUGCCAGCAGCCGCGGUAAUUC